rnacentral:rRNA from 1 species
UACAGAGGGGGCUAGCGUUGUUCGGAAUUACUGGGCGUAAAGGGCGCGUAGGUGGCCUGUUAAGUCGAACGUGAAAUCCCCGGGCUCAACCCGGGAACUGCGUCCGAGACUGGCAGGCUCGAAUCCGGGAGAGGGAUGUGGAAUUCCAGGUGUAGCGGUGAAAUGCGUAGAUAUCUGGAGGAACACCGGUGGCGAAGGCGG